UACAGAGGGUGCGAGCGUUAAUCGGAAUUACUGGGCGUAAAGGGCGCGUAGGCGGUUAGAUAAGUUAGAUGUGAAAUCCCUGGGCUUAACCUAGGAACUGCAUCUGAUACUGUUUGACUGGAGUGCUGUAGAGGGUAGUGGAAUUUCCGGUGUAGCGGUGAAAUGCGUAGAUAUCGUAAGGAAGACCAGUGGCGAAGGCGGGUCUCUGGACAGUUCCUGACACUGAGACACGAAGGCCAGGGGAGCAAACGGG
rnacentral:rRNA from 1 species